UACGGAAGGCAGCAGUGGGGAAUAUUGCACAAUGGGCGCAAGCCUGAUGCAGCCAUGCCGCGUGUAUGAAGAAGGCCUUCGGGUUGUAAAGUACUUUCAGUCGUGAGGAAGGUGUUAAGGUUAAUAACCUUAGCAAUUGACGUUAGCGACAGAAGAAGCACCGGCUAACUCCGUGCCAGCAGCCGCGGUAAUACGGAGGGUGCGAGCGUUAAUCGGAAUUACUGGGCGUAAAGGGCACGCAGGCGGUUAAUUAAGUUGGAUGUGAAAUCCCCGGGCUUAACCUGGGAAUGGCAUUCAAGACUGGUUAGCUAGAGUCUUGUAGAGGGGGUUAGAAUUCCAUGUGUAGCGGUGAAAUGCGUAGAGAUGUGGAGGAAUACCGGUGGCGAAGGCGGCCCCUGGACAAAGGCUGACGCUCAUGUGCGAAAGCGUGGGGAGCAAAC
rnacentral:rRNA from 1 species